AAAAUAAAAUACCUUGUAAAGUGAAGUCAUAGGUUUGUGGGAGCUAGCUCAGUGCUCGAGCAGCUAGCAAGUUCAGUUCAAAGUCACUUUAUUGUCAAUCCCCUCAUAUGACGAGACACAGUACACGAUAAACAUACAAGUAGACGACACAAAAUAAAAACAAGAAGGCACAAACAAUAACUAAUAAAUAAAUUAAAUAAGGGAUGAAUAAAUAUUAAACAAAUAACCCAAUAAAUAAGAGGAGCAAAACUGAGCCAGUCUGCGUACAGCAGACAGUAAGCAUAGCGCAAAGUACAGGACGCUACGCAGAAAGGGGGGGCGAGUUCAGGAUCCUAACAGCCUGGAGUAUGACGCUGUUUGAGAGUCUGGUGGUGCGGGAGCGCAGGCUCCUGUACCUCUUCCCAGAGGGCAGAAGCUCAAACAAAGAGUGAGCGGGGUGACUCACAUCAUACGUAGCAUGCAAUUUUCAGGUCAUUUGCAAUCGACAUGAAAAAGCUUUUUUGUUGCAUAUUCUUAGUGUGAUUUACUUCCCCCCCCCACCCCUAAAUCGGAAGGACAUUUAGCAGCAAUAUAGAAUUCAGCGUAACGCUAUCCAACCUUGUCUGCACCGUUGGUGCAAAUGUUCGUUCUACUGUCCCUUAUAUAGAAACUUGAGAGAUGAAAGUGGCUUUGUCUCCAUUUGAGUCCAGUUUUCGCCCAGUGGUAGCAAGAUAGGCCUGCAAUUUGGCCAAAUGACUAUUAUUUUCCUUUCUCAAGGAACAAGUACAGCACAAUGGAUUGGUGUUACACAGCUGCAGUCAUGCACUGCAUAUGUUUUGUGUAUAAAGCACCUCUCGAGAUUUAGAGAAUCUUUGCAUGUAUACUGAGUGUUUCCAUCCAAGUGAAGCUUAACUGUUUGUUUGUUUUUAAUCAUCAGGAUUGAAGGGUGUCCUUUUUUGGUGCCCAUUCUUGCCCUUGAUCAAUCGCACAAGGCAGACAGUAGCACUGAUCAUUUUCCCCUAGCAAGGAAACCCAGCAUGGAUCAACUCAAUAAUCCGAUAUCCUCCUUUGACUCAAUGUGGACAAUUAAGCGCCAGAGGCCGCUGCAGAGUCCCCCCCCACCCCCCGCAUCGACUACGAGCUGACAAGAAUCUACACGGGCGCAUGACGGCUCUGUGGCAGCUUUGACAAAGCAACAAUGCAGAUAAUUACGGCACCGAGUAAAAACCCAAAAUGGAAUUUCAUUGUGUCCCGUGGAAACAAUGGCGAAGCUGUCUCGGCAACACGUCUGCUGAUGUUGUAACGACUGGGAGCCCAAAGUCAACUGGGUUAGGCUCCACCACAACCUCGAUCCAGAAGAUGGUUUAUUGUACUAAAACAUCUCAUCUGAGUACCAGGACUGAAAAUUACAGGAUUUCUUUUAAGCAUCAAUUAGCAAAUAUGCGAAUUGUAGCAACAUAGCCUUUUUGCUAAUAGCAUGUUGACACAAAGCACAUAACAGCGAUUGGACCAAAAUAUAAAAAAACCUCUUGGGCCAUCGUUUAAAUAUCAUCAAAUAGACAGAAAAAGAAAUAAUUUAGUUUUGACCUCCCCUUGGCCUGCAUCUGUUCGUUGGCUCAUUAAUAGUCAGCCAUCCAAUCACCAAUCGCAAAUUUACUCAGUCCGACUCGGAGGACGACUUAGCGUGCUGUUUCCACUAACGCGAAGGGUCGCCGUGGCGCGGCCGCCCGACAUGACCGUCGUUAUCUGGGGUGGAAAUGCGUGUGUCCAGAAGUGAGGGCUGAGCUUUGUGCUGUGGAGCAAGGCCACCUCGCAGCCUUUGUGCCCCGUAACAAGCCCAGCUCAGGCUCCAGCGAAGCGAGAAAUUGUAAACUCUCCGGAGAGGCCCAGCGAGAAGAUAAGGGCUGCAUGUUGGCUGCCAAUGUGCAUGUGGAUGAAUCUGAUAGAGGCCGCUCCCACGCCAGAAUGGGAGUGAUGAUACCUCCCCUUCUAUAGUGAUUUAUGUUUAAUCCCCUUUGCCCGUGUAUUCACUUGCAAAUACUCCUGUCACCAUUAAUAUGUAUUAACAGCCCUCACGCUCAGCUCAAUACAGAUUUGCUCGGGUCUAUUUUUCCCCCACACGCUGGCCGUCUUUGAUCGACCAGAAUAGACCAGAAUGUACCGCCGGUGUUCGGGCCGCCGAAUCUUGAUGGCCGAGCUUUGUCGCGUCGUCACGUGACUGGCGUUUUACGAGCUGCGGGAAACAGCAGCAUCAUUCACUCCUGACAAUAACAUUGAAUAUUCAAAGUUCUUGUUUAUUAAUAUCAUUAAUGACAUUCAAUGAUGUCGUCUAACAAGAUAAGAAAUGUUGGAUGGGAUUUGUUUGAGACUCCUCUUGUCGGAGGCUUAAUCCAGACAAAGCCCUGAGAGGCUCAUUAGAGCCCGGUGAGGCCUUAAACCUACUCGGCUCGCAUUAAAGCCCAGCCCAGAGCAGCCUGUCAGCUCGCUGGCACGACCCAAAUCAAGCUGUCAAUUACCAGACAUGUUUAUGGAAAUUACAUGUUUGUUAACAUGCUGGAAAAAUCUGCUCUCGCCUCGGGCAGAAUGUGUUAGGAGAAACAAUUUUUGUUCAGCAGUCACCUUUCAAAGGGAUGAAGGUGAUCCUCAUCGGAUCGUAGACACAAUGGGGAUUGUAAACGCUCCCUUGGCUAAUGUGAACGCCCACUGCGUAGAAACACAACUGGUAAUCAAAGCUGAAAUCCGUACAUGAUAAGAUGCUUUUGUUUAAGGCAGUUUCGUUGUGUCUUGGCAGUUGUUCCGCCCCUUUUUGUCCUCUUCCACGUUAGACUGUAGCGUCGCCUGUUUGACUAACAGCACUGGACAAAGGCAACUUUUUAACAUUUAGAACAUUGCGACUGUACUCUUAGUGAUUCUUUUUUUAACAUUUAUAACCCGAUUGGCAGUGAUUUAAUAGUUCCGCGGGAAAGAAAUGGCAAAAAGUUGACACAUUUAUUACAUUAUUUUAUUAUUAUUUAAUAUAUUAAAAUAUUUAUUCCAGCAUCCAAACUUUUUUUUUCUUAACUUGACUUCUUUUUUAAGUGAUGAAUAAAUUAUUCCUUGGUUUUCAACACAGCGUGAGACUGCCCUGGUUUUAGCGUUCUUUUUGGUUUUAAGUUAUGUUCAAAUGUCUUUUGUUUCCUGUUUAAUUAUUCUGUUUGUGUGGAAAUAUUUCUUCCAUCCCAUAUAUUCUCUAUUUGAUUUGACACUUUGAAAUCGUUUAUCUCCUCAAAUAAAAGUAUGCCAUAUAAAUGAAUUAAUUUCAACACUAUGUUUGCGUCAGGUCCCUGUUUGAUUAGAUUUUUUUUCUCCGCUUGGGCAUAAAAGUGGUGAUUUUAGCCUUGCGAGGAAAUUGAGCCGAUCGACGUGCACAUUUGGCAUGUCUGGCUGAGCUCAUCUUAGACAAGGUAAUUUUGCCGGAGCAAUUACCACCGUAAUGUAUUUCAAAGUCGGGGCAUUUGCUGCUGCUUAGGUGAACCUCUGACAGCAUGUUUUGAUUUUCAACCAAUUGUUCGCCUCACGGUUCUCCUUCCCUACGUAACAAUCCGCCAUGAUGCCAUUAACAUCUAAUUACCUCACUAUACUCUGACUUGGUAGAUUUGACGGAAAACUAAGUAAAGAUGUCCACGAGGGACUUUACGGUCCUGUUCGUAGUGGACCCGUAUUACCUGGCGGGGAUGGUGCAAAUGCCCCAGAGAAUGUCAGUGCGCAGUGAAACUGUCAUCACACAAUUACCCCCACCAUUACAGGCCCAACAUCUCCAUGUAAUGGCCGUGACACUCUUUAUAAUUCAGAUUGUAGUCGCAGUCAGCGGCACUUAAACGCUGCUGCACUCUGUUUUAUGAAAAGAUAAAGAUCUGUGUAAUCUGCCCGGUGCUCAACCAUCCCUUGAAUGCUUGUCAGGCAGCGUUUUCGUCAUU